UUAAGCGACUAAGCGUACACGGUGGAUGCCCUGGCAGUCAGAGGCGAUGAAGGACGUGCUAAUCUGCGAUAAGCGUCGGUAAGGUGAUAUGAACCGUUAUAACCGGCGAUUUCCGAAUGGGGAAACCCAGUGUGAUUCGUCACACUAUCAUUAACUGAAUCCAUAGGUUAAUGAGGCGAACCGGGGGAACUGAAACAUCUAAGUACCCCGAGGAAAAGAAAUCAACCGAGAUUCCCCCAGUAGCGGCGAGCGAACGGGGAGCAGCCCAGAGCCUGAAUCAGUGUGUGUGUUAGUGGAAGCGUCUGGAAAGGCGCGCGAUACAGGGUGACAGCCCCGUACACAAAAAUGCACAUGCUGUGAGCUCGAUGAGUAGGGCGGGACACGUGGUAUCCUGUCUGAAUAUGGGGGGACCAUCCUCCAAGGCUAAAUACUCCUGACUGACCGAUAGUGAACCAGUACCGUGAGGGAAAGGCGAAAAGAACCCCGGCGAGGGGAGUGAAAAAGAACCUGAAACCGUGUACGUACAAGCAGUGGGAGCACAGAGCAAUCUGUGUGACUGCGUACCUUUUGUAUAAUGGGUCAGCGACUUAUAUUCUGUAGCAAGGUUAACCGAAUAGGGGAGCCGAAGGGAAACCGAGUCUUAACUGGGCGUUAAGUUGCAGGGUAUAGACCCGAAACCCGGUGAUCUAGCCAUGGGCAGGUUGAAGGUUGGGUAACACUAACUGGAGGACCGAACCGACUAAUGUUGAAAAAUUAGCGGAUGACUUGUGGCUGGGGGUGAAAGGCCAAUCAAACCGGGAGAUAGCUGGUUCUCCCCGAAAGCUAUUUAGGUAGCGCCUCGUGAAUUCAUCUCCGGGGGUAGAGCACUGUUUCGGCAAGGGGGUCAUCCCGACUUACCAACCCGAUGCAAACUGCGAAUACCGGAGAAUGUUAUCACGGGAGACACACGGCGGGUGCUAACGUCCGUCGUGAAGAGGGAAACAACCCAGACCGCCAGCUAAGGUCCCAAAGUCAUGGUUAAGUGGGAAACGAUGUGGGAAGGCCCAGACAGCCAGGAUGUUGGCUUAGAAGCAGCCAUCAUUUAAAGAAAGCGUAAUAGCUCACUGGUCGAGUCGGCCUGCGCGGAAGAUGUAACGGGGCUAAACCAUGCACCGAAGCUGCGGCAGCGACGCUGAUGCGUUGUUGGGUAGGGGAGCGUUCUGUAAGCCUGUGAAGGUGUGCUGUGAGGCAUGCUGGAGGUAUCAGAAGUGCGAAUGCUGACAUAAGUAACGAUAAAGCGGGUGAAAAGCCCGCUCGCCGGAAGACCAAGGGUUCCUGUCCAACGUUAAUCGGGGCAGGGUGAGUCGACCCCUAAGGCGAGGCCGAAAGGCGUAGUCGAUGGGAAACAGGUUAAUAUUCCUGUACUUGGUGUUACUGCGAAGGGGGGACGGAGAAGGCUAUGUUGGCCGGGCGACGGUUGUCCCGGUUUAAGCGUGUAGGCUGGUUUUCCAGGCAAAUCCGGAAAAUCAAGGCUGAGGCGUGAUGACGAGGCACUACGGUGCUGAAGCAACAAAUGCCCUGCUUCCAGGAAAAGCCUCUAAGCAUCAGGUAACAUCAAAUCGUACCCCAAACCGACACAGGUGGUCAGGUAGAGAAUACCAAGGCGCUUGAGAGAACUCGGGUGAAGGAACUAGGCAAAAUGGUGCCGUAACUUCGGGAGAAGGCACGCUGAUAUGUAGGUGAAGUCCCUCGCGGAUGGAGCUGAAAUCAGUCGAAGAUACCAGCUGGCUGCAACUGUUUAUUAAAAACACAGCACUGUGCAAACACGAAAGUGGACGUAUACGGUGUGACGCCUGCCCGGUGCCGGAAGGUUAAUUGAUGGGGUUAGCGCAAGCGAAGCUCUUGAUCGAAGCCCCGGUAAACGGCGGCCGUAACUAUAACGGUCCUAAGGUAGCGAAAUUCCUUGUCGGGUAAGUUCCGACCUGCACGAAUGGCGUAAUGAUGGCCAGGCUGUCUCCACCCGAGACUCAGUGAAAUUGAACUCGCUGUGAAGAUGCAGUGUACCCGCGGCAAGACGGAAAGACCCCGUGAACCUUUACUAUAGCUUGACACUGAACAUUGAGCCUUGAUGUGUAGGAUAGGUGGGAGGCUUUGAAGUGUGGACGCCAGUCUGCAUGGAGCCGACCUUGAAAUACCACCCUUUAAUGUUUGAUGUUCUAACGUUGACCCGUGAUCCGGGUUGCGGACAGUGUCUGGUGGGUAGUUUGACUGGGGCGGUCUCCUCCUAAAGAGUAACGGAGGAGCACGAAGGUUGGCUAAUCCUGGUCGGACAUCAGGAGGUUAGUGCAAUGGCAUAAGCCAGCUUGACUGCGAGCGUGACGGCGCGAGCAGGUGCGAAAGCAGGUCAUAGUGAUCCGGUGGUUCUGAAUGGAAGGGCCAUCGCUCAACGGAUAAAAGGUACUCCGGGGAUAACAGGCUGAUACCGCCCAAGAGUUCAUAUCGACGGCGGUGUUUGGCACCUCGAUGUCGGCUCAUCACAUCCUGGGGCUGAAGUAGGUCCCAAGGGUAUGGCUGUUCGCCAUUUAAAGUGGUACGCGAGCUGGGUUUAGAACGUCGUGAGACAGUUCGGUCCCUAUCUGCCGUGGGCGCUGGAGAACUGAGGGGGGCUGCUCCUAGUACGAGAGGACCGGAGUGGACGCAUCACUGGUGUUCGGGUUGUCAUGCCAAUGGCACUGCCCGGUAGCUAAAUGCGGAAGAGAUAAGUGCUGAAAGCAUCUAAGCACGAAACUUGCCCCGAGAUGAGUUCUCCCUGACUCCUUGAGAGUCUUGAAGGAACGUUGAAGACGACGACGUUGAUAGGCCGGGUGUGUAAGCGCAGCGAUGCGUUGAGCUAACCGGUACUAAUGAACCGUGAGGCUUAACCUU
rnacentral:rRNA from 1 species